CGGCGGAGGCUCAAAAAAAAUGUUUACAGUCCUUUUUGAGAAUGACUCUCUUCCGUCGUUUGAAUUUCACUCUGCAUGGUUAGUGUGUCGACGAAAGCUAGUCGGCAGUCUACCUUGGGGUAUACCCACGGUAGUAGUUUAUCGGUAGACGGUGCGCAAACUACGAACUCGAUGGUGACGCAAGACACGGACAUGCUUUUUAUCCAGGUUCGGCCGC
rnacentral:lncRNA from 1 species